rnacentral:rRNA from 1 species
AACGAACGUUGGCGGCGUGGAUUAGGCAUGCAAGUCGUACGCGAAAGAGGGAGCAAUCCCUUGAGUAAAGUGGCGAACGGGUGAGUAACGCGUAGGAAACCUGCCUUCGAGAUGGGGAUAACAUUCCUAACGGGGUGCUAAUACCGAAUGACACUGCGAAAUCGCAUGGUUUUGCAGUCAAAGGUGGCCUCUGCUUGCAAGCUACCACUCGAAGAUGGUCCUGCGUCCCANAGCUAGUUGGCGGGGUAAUGGCCCACCAAGGCGACGAUGGGUAGCCGAUCUGAGAGGAUGACCGGCCACACUGGGACUGAGAUACGGCCCAGACUCCUACGGGAGGCAGCAGUCGAGAGCUUCGGCAAUGGGGAAACCCUGACCGAGCGACGCCGCGUGGAGGAUGAAGGCCUUUGGGUGUAAACUCCUGUCAUGUGGGAAGAAACGCCACCGUACGAAUAGGACGGUUGGUUUGACGGUACCACAAGAGGAAGCUCCGGCUAAC